UACGUAGGGGGCAAGCGUUGUCCGGAAUUAUUGGGCGUAAAGCGCGCGCAGGCGGCUGUUUAAGUCUGGUGUAUAAACCUGGGGCUCAACCCCGGGUCGCACUGGAAACUGGAUAGCUUGAGUGCAGAAGAGGAGAGUGGAAUUCCACGUGUAGCGGUGAAAUGCGUAGAUAUGUGGAGGAACACCAGUGGCGAAGGCGACUCUCUGGGCUGUAACUGACGCUGAGGCGCGAAAGCGUGGGGAGCAAACAGG
rnacentral:rRNA from 1 species